rnacentral:rRNA from 1 species
CGCGGUUAUACAAAUAAUAUAAUUUAAUUAAGUUAAUUAUAAUUAAUUUAUUUAAAUUAAUUAAUAAUUAAAAUUUAUUAAGUGAAAUUUUAAAUUUUUAAUUUAAUUUUAUUUAAAAAAUGAGGUUGUGAAAUUUUAUUUAUAGACUAGGAUUAGAUACCBUAUUAUUUAAAACAUUGUUUUUUAUUUAAUUAGUAUUAGUUAUGUUCUUAAAAAUUAAAAAUUUUGGCGGUAUUUUAGUCUUUUCAGAGGAACCUGUUUUAUAAAUGAUAGUCCACGAUUUAAUUUACUUUAUUUUUUAAUUUAUAUAUCAUCGUAAUUAAAUAUUUUAUUAGAAUUAGAAAUAUUUAAGAUUUUUUAUUAAAAAAUUAAUCAGAUCAAGGUGUAGUUUAUAAAAAAGAAAAAAUGGGUUACAAUAAAUUUAUUUUUUGGAUAAUUAAUUUUAUAAAUAAUUUGAAUAUGGAUUUGAUAGUAAUUUUAAUUAAUUUAUUAAAAUGAUUAAAGGUGUANAAUAUGU